rnacentral:tRNA from 1 species
UGUAGCUCAGUUGGUAGAGCAUUUGCCUAGCAUGCAUAAAGCCCUGGGUUUGGUCCCCGGUA